UGAGAGAUGAUCUACAUGUGCCACGUCCAAU
rnacentral:piRNA from 1 species